UACGUAGGGUGCAAGCGUUGUCCGGAAUUAUUGGGCGUAAAGAGCUCGUAGGCGGUCUGUCGCGUCGAAUGUGAAAACCCGGGACUCAACUCCGGGCCUGCAUUCGAUACGGGCAGACUAGAGUUCGGUAGGGGAGACUGGAAUUCCUGGUGUAGCGGUGAAAUGCGCAGAUAUCAGGAGGAACACCGGUGGCGAAGGCGGAUCGCUGGGCCGAUACUGACGCUGAGGAGCGAAAGCGUGGGGAGCGAACAGG
rnacentral:rRNA from 1 species